AGAUUGAACGCUGGCGGCAUGCCUUACACAUGCAAGUCGAACGGCAGCACGGGAGCAAUCCUGGUGGCGAGUGGCGAACGGGUGAGUAAUACAUCGGAACGUGCCCAAUCGUGGGGGAUAACGCAGCGAAAGCUGUGCUAAUACCGCAUAAGAUCUACGGAUGAAAGCAGGGGAUCGCAAGACCUUGCGCGAAUGGAGCGGCCGAUGGCAGAUUAGGUAGUUGGUGAGGUAAAGGCUCACCAAGCCUUCGAUCUGUAGCUGGUCUGAGAGGACGACCAGCCACACUGGGACUGAGACACGGCCCAGACUCCUACGGGAGGCAGCAGUGGGGAAUUUGGACAAUGGGCGAAGCCUGAUCCAGCCAUGCCGCGUGCAGGAUGAAGGCCUUGGUUGUAACUGCUUUGUACGGAACGAAAGUCUACUUACUAAUAAGAGGAUCAUGACGUACGAAGAAUAAGACACGACUA
rnacentral:rRNA from 1 species